CUUGAGUGAGAGUAUAGCCGUUAUACUAGCAUACUUCUAUUAAACAACAUGAUAAUCAUCACAUGUGCCAUUAAUUGCUCUGGUACGUACUUUGUCCACUGUUUGACUGAAGCUCAGACUCUACUACUAAUCUAGACUUUAACAAUUCCUCCAGUGUGAGGCUAUUAACUUAUUUUUAUGCCCCAAUCUUCAUGCAGGGGCGUAGCAAGCAACUUUAAAGUGGUCAGGCCAACUAACAAUUAAAGGUCAACUGUUUUUCUACUAUUGGAACUUUGCAUACAGUGGUGAAUUUUUUACCUAGGAAAAGGUCAUCACUUUUCCUCACCAAAACAGCAUGCGCAUUUCACUUACAAUAUUUACGACCAUUACCUACCCAGCUGCUAAAGUGGUUAGGCCAAAACCUGACCAGCCUGACCGCUUGCUACGACCUUGAUGCAACGUUAUGCUAUAAUUAUGUGAACAUUAUUUCUUACUCGCCCAGGUUCAGGUUCGGAAGUGUUGUGUUUGAGAUCACGUCAGGCAGAUAGAGAAGGUGGAGCUGGUCCUCCAGGACCUCCUUCAGCUGCAAUAUGAGGGCCUGGCAAUCAUGAAGAUGUUUGGGAGGGCCAAAGUGAAUGUUAAUCUGCUCAUCUUCCUCAUGAACUUUUAAAAUCCUCAGAGUGUUAAAUUGGAUUUCAUUAACAAAUUGCAUGUAUUCAUUGACAAUUGCAUGUGAGCAUUCUUCAAUUAUUUAUAUCAUCUGCAUGUACUAUUGACACGUUGCAAUUGAUUAAUUAACGACCUAAUGUUCUAACAUACUAUGUACUUCGCUACUUUUCUCUAAAUUGUCAUUGAAUGAUAUAAUAGUCCUAUUCGUUUAA